UUCGAAUGGCUGGGCUAUAGAAACCAGCCAUUCAUACGAACGGGGGACAAACAGACGAACGGGCAAAAAUCCAGCAGACAGAUGGUUCUGUCACACGGCUCCCUCCUUGUGGGACACUCCGGCAGACCCGGCUUGACCCUGUGGCGGGUCAACUUGGGGAUGACCGGACUAAGAGGUGAUGGAAACGUCUGUUUGUCGUGACAACCCAUCUGCAUUCCCAUUCAGCUUACCGGGUCUGUAGCUGAUGGUAAAAUUGUAGGGCUGUAGGGCCAAGCUCCAUCUCAGCAGUCUCCCAUUGUCUCCUGAGACCCGGUUAAGCCAAACGAGUGGGUUGUGAUCAGUCACCAGGGAAAACUCUUGUCCAUACAGAUAGGGGCUUAACUUUUUCAAUGCCCAGACCAAGGCCAAACACUCCUUCUCCACUGCCGCAUAACUCACUUCUCUGGGUAACAACUUUCUGCUGAGAUAUGCGACAGGGUGCUCUCCUCCAUCUUCCCCGACUUGGCUCAGCACAGCCCCCAGUCCAUACAUGGAAGCAUCUGUAUGGACGAGAAAGCGUUUGUUAGGGACUGGGGCUGC